rnacentral:rRNA from 1 species
UACGUAGGUUCCGAGCGUUGUCCGGAUUUAUUGGGCGUAAAGCGAGCGCAGGUGGUUUAUUAAGUCUGGUGUAAAAGGCAGUGGCUCAACCAUUGUAUGCAUUGGAAACUGGUAGACUUGAGUGCAGGAGAGGAGAGUGGAACUCCAUGUGUAGCGGUGAAAUGCGUAGAUAUAUGGAGGAACACCGGUGGCGAAAGCGGCUCUCUGGCCUGUAACUGACACUGAGGCUCGAAAGCGUGGGGAGCAAACAGG